AUUGAACGCUGGCGGCAGGCCUAAUACAUGCAAGUCGGACGGGAUUGAGAAGCUUGCUUUUCAUGAGAGUGGCGCACGGGUGCGUAACACGUAUGUAACCUACCUUAAUCAGGGGGAUAGCCUCUCGAAAGAGAGAUUAACACCGCAUAAAAUCAAUUUAUGGCAUCAUAGAAUGAUCAAAUAUUUAUAGGAUUAAGAUGGGCAUGCGGAACAUUAGCUAGUUGGUAAGGUAACGGCUUACCAAGGCUACGAUGUUUAGGGGAUCUGAGAGGAUGACCCCCCACACUGGUACUGAGACACGGACCAGACUCCUACGGGAGGCAGCAGUAAGGAAUAUUGGUCAAUGGGCGCAAGCCUGAACCAGCCAUGCCGCGUGCAGGAAGACGGCCCUACGGGUUGUAAACUGCUUUUGUACCGGAAUAAACCUUUGUAUGUAUACGAAGCUGAAUGUACGGUAAGAAUAAGGAUCGGCUAACUCCGUGCCAGCCGCCGCGGUAA
rnacentral:rRNA from 1 species